rnacentral:rRNA from 1 species
UUUAAAUUGAGAGUUUGAUCCUGGCUCAGGAUGAACGCUGGUGGCGUGCCUAAUACAUGCAAGUCGUACGCUAGCCGCUGAAUUGAUCCUUCGGGUGAAGUGAGGCAAUGACUAGAGUGGCGAACUGGUGAGUAACACGUAAGAAACCUGCCCUUUAGUGGGGGAUAACAUUUGGAAACAGAUGCUAAUACCGCGUAACAACAAAUCACACAUGUGAUCUGUUUGAAAGGUCCUUUUGGAUCGCUAGAGGAUGGUCUUGCGGCGUAUUAGCU